GCUUUCCUGUGGCUCAGUUGGUAGAGCAAAAGCGCUAACACCACAAAGGUUGUGGGUUCAAAUCCCAGGGAAAGCA